rnacentral:rRNA from 1 species
GACGAACGCUGGCGGCGUGCUUAACACAUGCAAGUCGAACGAAGUGGCGAACGGGUGAGUAACGCGUAAUCAACCUGCCCUUCAGCGGGGGACAACAGUUGAAAACGACUGCUAAUACCGCAUACUGAAGGAGGGGAUUGCGUCUGAUUAGCUGGUUGGAGGGGUAACGGCCCACCAAGGCGAUGAUCAGUAGCCGGGCUUGAGGGGUGAACGGCCACAAUGGGACUUGGAAACGGCCCAGACUCCUUAGGGAGGCAGCAGUGGGGAAUCUUCCGGAAUGGACGAAAGUCCGACGGAGCAACGCCGCGUGAGUGAUGACGGCCUUCGGGUUGUAAAGCUCUGUUAAUCGGGACGCGGUACCGGAAUAGAAAGCCACGGCUAACUACGUGCCAGCAGCCGCGGUAAUAC